UACGUACGAGGCAAGCGUUAUCCGGAAUUAUUGGGCGUAAAGCGCGCGCAGGCGGUCCUUUAAGUCUGAUGUGAAAGCCCACGGCUCAACCGUGGAGGGUCAUUGGAAACUGGGGGACUUGAGUGCAGAAGAGGAAAGCGGAAUUCCACGUGUAGCGGUGAAAUGCGUAGAGAUGUGGAGGAACACCAGUGGCGAAGGCGGCUUUCUGGUCUGUAACUGACGCUGAGGCGCGAAAGCGUGGGGAGCAAACAGG
rnacentral:rRNA from 1 species